GACGAACGCUGGCGGCGUGCCUAAUACAUGCAAGUUGAGCGCUGAAGGUUGGUACUUGUACCAACUGGAUGAGCAGCGAACGGGUGAGUAACGCGUGGGGAAUCUGCCUUUGAGCGGGGGACAACAUUUGGAAACGAAUGCUAAUACCGCAUAAAAACUUUAAACACAAGUUUUAAGUUUGAAAGAUGCAAUUGCAUCACUCAAAGAUGAUCCCGCGUUGUAUUAGCUAGUUGGUGAGGUAAAGGCUCACCAAGGCGAUGAUACAUAGCCGACCUGAGAGGGUGAUCGGCCACAUUGGGACUGAGACACGGCCCAAACUCCUACGGGAGGCAGCAGUAGGGAAUCUUCGGCAAUGGACGAAAGUCUGACCGAGCAACGCCGCGUGAGUGAAGAAGGUUUUCGGAUCGUAAAACUCUGUUGGUAGAGAAGAACGUUGAUGAGAGUGGAAAGCUCAUCAAGUGACGGUAACUACCCAGAAAGGGACGGCUAACUACG
rnacentral:rRNA from 1 species